UACGUAGGUGGCAAGCGUUGUCCGGAUUUACUGGGCGUAAAGCGCGCGCAGGCGGACUGAUCAGUCUGGGGUGAAAUCUCCCGGCUCAACUGGGAGCGGUCCCUGGAUACUGUCAGUCUUGAGAGACCUAGAGGAGAGCGGAAUUCCCGGUGUAGUGGUGGAAUGCGUAGAUAUCGGGAAGAACACCAGUGGCGAAAGCGGCUCUCUGGGGGUUUUGCUGACGCUGAGGCGCGAAAGCGUGGGGAGCGAACCGG
rnacentral:rRNA from 1 species